rnacentral:rRNA from 1 species
GCGUGAGUGAUGAAGGCCUUCGGGUUGUAAAGCUCUUUCGGGUGUGAAAAUGAUGAUGGUAACACCAGAAGAAGCCCCGGCUAACUCCGUGCCAGCAGCCGCGGUAAUACGGAGGGGGCGAGCGUUGUUCGGAAUCACUGGGCGUAAAGCGUGCGUAGGCGGUUAUACAAGUCAGGAGUGAAAUCCCAGGGCUCAACCUUGGAAUUGCUUUUGAGACUGUAUGACUAGAGAUCUAGAGAGGUUGGGGGAAUUCCGAGUGUAGAGGUGAAAUUCGC